rnacentral:rRNA from 1 species
GAUGAACGCUGGCGGCGUGCCUAAUACAUGCAAGUCGAGCGAACGGACGAGAAGCUUGCUUCUCUGAUGUUAGCGGCGGACGGGUGAGUAACACGUGUAUAACCUACCUAUAAGACUGGGAUAACUUCGGGAAACCGGAGCUAAUACCGGAUAAUAUUUUGAACCGCAUGGGUCAAAAGUGAAAGACGGUCUUGCUGUCACUUAUAGAUGGAUCCGCGCUGCAUUAGCUAGUUGGUAAGGUAACGGCUUACCAAGGCAACGAUGCAUAGCCGACCUGGUAGGGUGGUCGCCCACACUGGAACUGAGACACGGUCCAGACUCCUACGGGAGGCAGCAGUAGGGUAUCUUCCGCAGUGGGCGGAAGCAUGGCGGAGCAACGCCGCGUGAGUGAUGAAGGUCUUCGGAUCGUAAUGCUCUGUUAUUAGGGAAGAACAUAUGUGUAAGUAACUGUGCACAUCUUGACGGUACCUAAUCAGAAAGCCACGGCUAACUACGUG